AACGUAAAUAGCGCAUGAGGUCUGUUUCAUGUCCAAGUGAGUCCAACUUGUAUUAUUGGGGUUUUUUUCAGACAAGCCCACAAGUUACUACGAAAUCUUGCAAGAGAAGCAAGUGUGAUCCUGGCUUCAGGCAAGAACAGGAGUAUGAAGUUUAGUCGUUGGAUUUUCCCGAAUGUAGUGAAGUCUGGAGACAUAAAUAACGCAGAGCUCGAGGAAUAAUUUGGCCGCUGUGUCCAAGUGUUCGGUUAUCCGUUCAAAGUUUUGGGCAAGGUCGUGUGGAAGAGUCUGGGUUUGACUGAAGAAAUUAGGGAUAAAUUAAUUGAUGUAUUUAUACAUGCAUGCUAAUCUGACAUCGCAACAUUUAUACAAACAUGUUGGUCAACGAUAAUUUAAAACAAAGCGAAUGAUAUCGGAGGUAGAUAAUUUGAUGUAUUUGAUUGUUAAACAAUCUUUAAUGAUUACUUAUCUUCUUUCAAUUGUGCAAAUUAGGGCUGGAAUUCCUACAACUACAAGGAAUAUAGAGAAAUAUCCAGAAAGAAAAUUUCUUCACAGCCAGCUUCCACAUAACAUUUUUUUGCAAGGACAAUUUCCCCUUCUCCCAGUAUAUUUAUCCCAUGCAGUAUAUUUAUUCUCCUUUCUCACAAUUUCCCCUUCUCCCAGUAUAUUUAUUUUUCCCGAAUACAAUGAAUUGAUAUGAAAAAUAAUUCUUAUGCAAAAUUAGAUCCAUUGACAAUAAUAUACACUGAGAUGCAUACAGAGUUUAAAAAAAUGAUUUUCCAAUGCUUAGAAAAAUAUUCAUUACAAUUAAAACACCUUAUUUCAAAAUACAAAUAUUGCGUUUAAUAUCCAUGUGAAAG